rnacentral:rRNA from 1 species
UUCGAGUGGCGGACGGGUGAGUAACGCGUGGGUAACCUGCCUUACGCAGGGGGAUAACACCUGGAAACAGGUGCUAAUACCGCAUAAGCGCACAGGGCCGCAUGGCCCGGUGUGAAAAACUCCGGUGGUGUAAGAUGGACCCGCGUCUGAUUAGCUUGUUGGCGGGGUAGGGGCCCACCAAGGCGACGAUCAGUAGCCGGCCUGAGAGGGUGGACGGCCACAUUGGGACUGAGACACGGCCCAAACUCCUACGGGAGGCAGCAG